rfam:Streptomyces qinglanensis strain SCSIO M10379 scaffold1, whole genome shotgun sequence.
GCCCCCGUAGCUCAGGGGAUAGAGCAACGGCCUCCGGAGCCGUGUGCGCAGGUUCGAAUCCUGCCGGGGGUA